rnacentral:rRNA from 1 species
UGUCUUUUAGAUAAUAAUUUAAAGUCUAAUCUGCCCACUGAGUAGUUAAAUGGCCGCGGUAUUUUGACCGUGCAAAGGUAGCAUAAUAAUUAGUUUUUUAAUUGGAAGCUGGUAUGAAGGAUUGGAUGAGAAAAUAACUGUCUUAAAUUAAUUUUUUUAGAAUUUUAUUUUUAAGUUAAAAAGCUUAAAUUUUAUUAAAAGACGAGAAGACCCUAUAGAGUUUAAUAAAUUAAUUAAUAGAUUUAUUAUUGUUUUAAGUUUAUUUAUUGAUUAAUAUAUUUUGUUGGGGUGAUAGAAAAAUUUAAUAAACUUUUUUUAAAAUUUUACAUUAAUUUAUGAUUAAUUGAUCCAAGUUUGUUGAUUAAAAGAAUAAAUUACCUUAGGGAUAACAGCGUAAUUUUUUUUAAGAGUUCUAAUCGAAAAAAGAGAUUGCGACCUCGAUGUUGGAUUAAAGUAAAAUUYUGGUGUARAAGCUAAAAUUUUAGGUCUGUUCGACCUUUAAAACUUU